rnacentral:misc_RNA from 1 species
GAACGCACAUUGCGCUCUCUGGUAUUCCGGAGAGCAUGCUUGUUUGAGUAUCAGUAAAACACCCUCAGUUCUCUUUUUGAGAACUGGACUUGAGUUAUCCCAACGGUGGUUUCAAAACCACUGGCGGGGCGCUUGAAAUGCAGGUGCGGCUGGACACAUCUUCUGAGCUAUAAGCAUUACUUAUUUAAUCCCGUCAGACGGAUUAUUUCUACUGCUACAGCUAUAUAAGGUCGAUUGUCCGUUUGCCCGACUGAUGCAGAAAAAACAGAGAGAAAUCUUUGUUCACUCGAUCUCAAAUCAAGUAAGACUACCCGCUGAACUUAAG